GGCAUAGCCAAAAUUCGUUCGCCCUUGAUCAUCCUGACUGUUCCAUUGUUGUAGCUGUUGUGAACGUGAGUUAAUGGAAGGUAGGGCCGGAUAUUGGAUACUUGCCGCUUGGACGUUGGCCACUGCCAACAACAGCAAAAGAUUCCAUUUGAUGCUCGUACUCGGCGCGUUUAGAUUCGACGAAGACGAUGUCCAAUUGUUUUGUCUUGGGCUCUUUUAUACUCAAAGACAGACUGAAGACGUGGCAAUCGGUAGGUUCCUGCUCUUCUUAUCUUUGUCGUUAAUGACCACACCCGAAUUAAUUAUGAUAAUGACAUUUUUGGUAGGAGCUGUGAAUUUGCAUGGCUAGCAACAAACAUGAACGGGGAAUCCCGCAUAACUGGAUGCGAACCCCAACCUGAUCCACAUAAAUGAAUGCCACAAGAUAAUCAGGAACAAUCAACAAGAAGCACGUAAGGUGUCAACGCUUACCUUAAAAAAACAGCAAAAGCAGUAGGGAAUGAACUUUGUUCAUGGGAACGCAAUAAAACUGAAAAUAACAAGGAUUUGGAUGGCCAGUCAAGAAUCGGAGGAAUAGAUAUCCUGUACUUAGCAUAUUCAAAAAUCGAUUUUAUACCCAACUGAUCUCGGUGUUAUCUUUAAUCUAUUCCUAUUUAAGUUUAAUGACGCGCAUUUAAAAAAAAAUAAAAAUCCUCGUACAUUUGAAUGGAUGAUUUCAGCAUGUCGAUGAAUUUAUCAAAUUCUUUAAUUGUGGAAAAUAAAUUUUUAUGGAAAGCAA